rnacentral:rRNA from 1 species
GAUGAACGCUGGCGGCGUGCCUAAUACAUGCCAGUCGAGCGAACAGACGAGGAGCUUGCUCCUCUGACGUUAGCGGCGGACGGGUGAGUAACACGUGGAUAACCUACCUAUAAGACUGGGAUAACUUCGGGAAACCGGAGCCAAUACCGGAUAAUAUAUUGAACCGCAUGGUUCAAUAGUGAAAGACGGUUUUGCUGUCACUUAUAGAUGGAUCCGCGCCGCAUUAGCUAGUUGGUAAGGUAACGGCUUACCAAGGCAACGAUGCGUAGCCGACCUGAGAGGGUGAUCGGCCACACUGGAACUGAGACACGGUCCAGACUCCUACGGGAGGCAGCAGUAGGGAAUCUUCCGCAAUGGGCGAAAGCUUGACGGAGCAACGCCGCGUGAGUGAUGAAGGUCUUCGGAUCGUAAAACUCUGUUAUUAGGGAAGAACAAAUGUGUAAGUAACUAUGCACGUCUUGACGGUACCUAAUCAGAAAGCCACGGCUAACUACGUG